rnacentral:pre_miRNA from 1 species
AUUAUACUCCCUCCGUUCCUAAAUACUUGUCUUUCUAGGCAUUUCAACAAGUGACUACAUACGGAGCAAAAUGAGUGAAUCUACACUCUAAAAUAUGUCUACAUACAUCCGUAUGUAGUAGUCAUUUGAAAUGUCUAGAAAGACAAGUAUUUAGGAACGGAGGGAGUAUUUA